CCCGCGUAAACAAAGCUCGCUAGCUAACUUUUGACAGAAGGAGAAGGAACCAGUAUGAACAAAACAUAGCAACGAAUGAUUUGCCGGACUCAGAUCAAGCUGCAAGUCCUGCCUCUCCCAUCUCCUCAUUGGUUUAUAGAAGCAGAUACCCACGUGCCAUCUCUGCAUUGGUUAUACCCACGUGGGUGAUUGAAAGAUGAACUGUGUUGCAGGUUGUCGUGGUAAUACUGUGAAAGUUUAAAUGCCCUUCACCAUAUAAGUUCAAAGAUGAAAAAGCCUGGAAGGAGGAGAGAUGACUAGAAACGAUUCGGUUGACCAUUUUAUGUGUGGAUUAAUUGUCGGGGUAGAGGACCUUGUGCAUUUCAGGUUCAAGAGCAGGGCCCAUAAAUCAAAGAGGUGGAUGAGGAGCCUUAGAGAAGCGCGGGACCAGUGAGGGCACCAGAGGUCCCACAGUACUU